AGUCAACGGCACAAUUCAUCCUUACUUUAACUGACACACAUGAACUUUGACUUUUCUAGAAUCAAUUAUUUAUACCCAAUAGCUACCAUGAAAUAACAGUUUCAACAUUUAAUGGAUUUCAAACACUAUUAAGGGCUAAACCCAAGCAUGAGCAGCCUUAAACAAUGCCUAGCUAAUUUGUCUCACAAGAAUAAACAUGCGAAUCAUGAACUCUUUUGUAAUUACUAGACAUUAAAAUACGAUACUGAAUUCAAUCUCGAUUGAUGAUCCACAAAUUAUCAACAAGUCCCUAGAACAACCCAAUUAACUCAGCUUACAAUAUUCCUAAAGUCCAUAUCCCAAAUGUUUUGAUCAAUGAAAAUGUAAACUAUGACUAGCUUAAUAGUAAACUAACAGAUUUAAUCUAAGCCAACCCAACACAACUCAAUACAUACUCCAGCCAUUUAAAAUCAACAACAUAACUCAAACCAACAUUCUGCAAUUUGACUUGAUUCAAAUGUAUUAUAACAAAGCAAUGGCCAAAACGAUAGUUUCCAUUUCAUUUCAAGUGGAUACACCACAUAGAAGCUGGGUCGAAGGAGUGUACAUGAGAUUCAAAAUGUAAAAAAUGAGGAAAUAUGGAAGAUCAGUCAGGGCAGCAGUGAACCACAACUAGAUUCAACACAGCAAAAAUUCGAUUUCAACUUCAGAAACACACAAGAACCCACAACAGACAAUCAUUCACCACCAACAACAAAGGAAAUCACACAAAUGAACCCAAAACCUAACUGAAGGAGCCCUUGAACUUCUUGAAACCAAACACAAUUCAAUGAACUAUCAAAUUACUUGAAAAUGAACUGAAAAAUUCAAUGAAACAGUGAUUUCUCCAUUUCUUUUUGGUUUUUCUGGAGCUUUUUGCUGUUUUUUUUUUUGUUUUUUUACUUGAAUUCAAAAGGCUAAAUAUGAAACCAAAAUGAAGGAAAAGGAGUUUUCUAUGGGAGUUUUUAGGGCUGAAAGUUGAAGACCUUUACUCAAGGCCCUUCAUACCCUUUUAUAGGUAACUAAAGAGAAUAGAUCAGAUUUUAGGUUUUCCUUUUAUUCCCCCCUUAUUUUCAGUUUAGUCCCUAUAUUCUUGACUUGCUAAUCAAUUAAAUGCAUCACAAUUACUGAAAUCUACACUUGUACCACAUUCUAGAAACCUCUAGGGUGCUCUUUUAGCCCCAAAAUACCCAUACUACCCUUACCCAUGUUUUGAAAUUACCAAUCCUAAUAAAAUUACCCUUUCUAAUGCCCAACUACUCUUUUCUAUCCCUAAAAUGCCCUUAUGAACCCCUUGAAAUUACUGACCAAGGUCAGAACUAAACAAAUCUCUUGACUGGACCAUGGUCCAUCAACUCAGCCAUAACCAAACAACAACCUAAUUAAACACCAACAAUUAAUAUUAAAAAAAAAAAAGAUGAAUGACUUAUACUAACUGAAAUCAAUUCCAAACAAAUUCCGAGACGAAACUCACAUGAACAGGAUAAAACGGAAACCAAUUAUGCUAUCAACCAGUUAGCAAUUGGAUAUUUAACUAACAAAAUCCAAAAAUUAACACAAAAUUGAAUCAAAGAAACACAAGUGAAAAUUAAGCGAAAAGAACAAUUAAGCUAAACGCUCAUAUCACUCAUGGAGGUAAAGCAAAACUGUAAAUCACAAUUAAACAAAAACAACAAAUUAAACUGGAGAAAAAAAGAAAAAAACUUACUGGUGUUCAAGCUUUCAUGAGAAAACAUCGACUUCUGAUUAAUAUUAAACGUUUAUUUCAACGAAAGUAAACCAAUAAUAUUAAACAGAAAUCGAUUGAUUUUAAAGAAAAUACUCAAUCCCUAGCCCGGACUGUGAAAACCUUAGAUUCCAAAUUUGUGGAGACUCAGUGAGAUUCGAAGGGUUCAAGGCAUGAAAUAGAGAUUAGGGAAGAACAACGGUUGUCUAGUAUGAUUUUGUGUUCAUUUAGAGCUCUGCUGCCGCUGGCGGCGAUUUUCGGCCGGCGGAGACGGUGAGGUAAAUUUUGGUACGAGGAGGAAAAGAUUGGUCGUGUACUUUCUGAAGGAAUUUGGACAGUUUUAUGUAAAAGGC
rnacentral:lncRNA from 1 species